AGAGAGACACAGAGAGACAGAGAAGCAGAGAGACACAGAGACAGAGAGAGACAGAGAAGCAGAGAGACACAGAGACAGAGAGAGACAGAGAAGCAGAGAGACAGAGACAGAGAGAGACAGAGAAUCAGAGAGACAGAGAGAGACAGAGAAGCAGAGAGACACAGAGACGGGGAGCCGUACACAGGGAGGGACAGCAUCUGGAGACAGGUGGAGGCACAGAGAGACUGAGAAUCUCAGAUGCAUGGAGACUGAGAGAGAAACGUGAGGAGGCAGGGGAGGAGACAGAGAAUCAGAGACGGAGAGACAAGGGGGCACACAGAGAGGUAGGGAAUCUGAGACACACGAGACACAGGGAGGUGUGGGAACUAGAGACAGGCUGAGAACAGGGAGAGACAGGAGAGUCAGAGACAGAGACGUUUAGAGAGAGACAAAGAUAAACCCAGAGCCCGAAACUGGGAGAGGACAAAGUCACAGAGGACAGAUGGACACGUUGGGGGCCAGAGAGGGUCAGACACACGCGGAGGACGCGGAGAGGCUUCAGAGAGCCCCCCGGAGAGAUGCGGGGGAGGGGGAGAAGAGGGGAGCGGGGACCACGCUGGAGGGAAUGGGGGGGGAUUGAGGAGGAGGAGUCUGGGAAGAACUGAGGGAGGGGCUGGGGAGACUGUGAAGGAGACACCGGGGUGAAGGGCGGAGAUGGGGUCAGCCUGCUUCAUUUCCGGUCUCCCGGCAAGAUCCGGGACAGCAGGCCCCUCCCUGUCGGUCCCCCUAUUGUGACUACGGGGACAGAGGACAUCCGGCCGUGGCAAGGUUAUGUAACCAGAUAUCCACCUGAUGGAUGGACCUGAAGACUGAAAGGAGCUCGAUUCCAGUCACAGACAUCGUCCUGAUCCAGGACAAACCCUUUCACGAUCGGACUUCGGAAUGACUCCUGACUGAGCUAGCUCUGGAUUCAUGAAGGCUUUGAGCCCUGGUCCAAGUCCACAUUCACCCUUGUCUGUGGCUCCAGGCUGAAUCAUUCCCUCAAUGAGCCCCACGUCUUAUUUUAAACUGACCUUGGCCUUGGCCCUACUGUGAACUCUGACCUCUGACCUUGGCCCUAUUCUCUGUCCUGCUUCAUCUCUGACUUUGACAUCACACUGAACUGAUCUGUCUGAGCUCAACUUGGAUCCUGGCCCAGUCCCUGGGAGCCUCCAUCCUGGCCCUCGAGGCUGCCCUUUCUGAGCCUUAUUUGCAGCCCUGGCUGAGUCCUGAGCCGAACCAACUCAAAUCCCACCCUCGGUAUCAGGAUGAUCCUCGCCCUGCAGUCCUAAGACUCCAGACCAUACCCCAGGACCGACUUAGACUCAGCUCUGAUUCCAGAGCCAGCACUUCAGCCCCCUGAGUGAUCGUGAGCACAUGAUGUCUGCAGACGUGUCUCUGCAAAUCACCAUCUUACAACAAGCUGGGGGGAGUGGGAGCGCGAGAACUGCCAGACAGCGGGACAUACGGCUGCGUGGAGGGAGAGACCCUCAGAUCAGCCUUGAACAUCCCAGGACACUUUAAAACUGCAGUCAGGGCUGCUGCUGGGGGAGGGGGGGUCAGGAUCGACCUCCCCUGUGCUGUGGCCGAAAGCUCCGACAGGAGUGGGAGCAAGCUGCUUUCCUUUUAAACUAAUUAUUCUUGGGAAAUGGGCCUUAAACUUAGUUGUCCUCAUGAUGCAGAAACAAUCCCGAGCCUUCCAGCACCUUCUUAAAGUCAGUACCCUGGAACAAAGCCCCAACCAUCCCAUCCUAGUUACAGUUCUGCCUAACACCAUCUCCAGACUGAGCCUGGCUCCCAGCCUGAACUUAUCCCUCACCCUGAUUUUUCUUCUUCUUCUUUUUUUGCUGAGGCACUUGGGGGUUAAGUGACUUGUCCAGGGUCACACAGCCAGGAAGUGUUAAGUGUCUGAGGGCAGAUUUGAACUCAGAUCCUCCUGACUUCAGGACUGGUGCUCCAUCCACUGUACCACCUAGUUGCCCUACCCUGAUUUUUCAAAUUAAACCGCUCCCAGCUCUAGAUGGAACCUAACUCCAGCUCUGAAUGGAAACCUGGCCUUGGCUACAGACAAGGUUUUUUCUUUUCCUCUGAUUGCCAAGAAUUUUUUUUUCCUCUUACUUCCCCAUCCCUAAAAAAAAAAAGGAAAGAAACUUUUGUAACAAAUUUGCAUAAUCAAAAUAAAUUCCUAUAUUAACUAUGUCCAAAAAAGUCUCAUUCUUUUUUUUAAACAUUUUUCUUUAAAAAAAAGAAUAAGAAAAAAAGAAAAACAAAAGGAAUACAAAACAAAAUAAAAUAAAACAAAAGAGAUGAUUGUCUCGUGCCUUGCAGAUCAUCAAGGAGGAUUCAAAUUAUAUAACAACAACUUACCAGUUCAAGAAAGUAUAUAUAUUAGUAGAAGAAAUUCUAUUCACGAGGGCCCAUCUUUUUUUAUUAUUUCCUUGUAAAUUACUCUUUUGUUCUCCGCUGUGUACCUUUUUUUAUUUUAUUCUUUUCCCCUCUUUUUAACUCCCUCACCCCCAAGAAGAUUAUAAAAAAAAGUCUCAUUCUGCACAUUUGCCCAUCACCUCUCUGUCUCCGGGCAGGUGACGUCCUUCCUCUGGAAUCACAGUUGGCCGUUGUGCCCAAGUCUUUUCAAGUAGAUUUUCUUUAGGAUGUUGUUGUCUUUGUCUAAAAUAGCUCUCCUCGAUUCACCUUGCAUCAUCCCAUGUACAUUUUCCUCGGUUUUUCCAAAACCAUCCCCUUCACCAUCCCUUACCACACAAUAGUAUUCCAUCACCUUCAUGUGCCGUAACUUGUUGAGCCGUUCCCUAAUUGGUGGGCGUGAAGUAGAAUCUUCCAGUCUCAGUGCCUCAAUCUUGAGCCUUGGGACUAAAAGAAUUGCUUUUUUUUUUCCCCCUUUCUUUUUCCAUUAACAAAGAUUCUCAUUACAUUUUAUUUUAGUUUCAAGGAUACAGACAAGAAACGAGUUUCACGGUUAUAUAAUAAUAACAACAAUAAUAAUAAUAAAUAUAUAUAUAUAUGAAAAAUAAUGGAUGGCCGUAGUUAGGUUGUGGACAUGUUCCAGGGUGCCACGAGCUAAUUAGUUUACUAGCUCCAUUUACCAUUCAAAUGUUCUUUUAUAUUCCUCCUACUUGGAACAUGACUGCCGUGUCUGUCCGUGUUUACAAGAUAUUUAAACCUUAAAACACUAGGGAAGUCGGGUAGAACAACACAAAGGUUUUCUGACAUAUUUAAAGACUAUUAAGUGAAGAUAAUUUUUAAAAAAUGGCUGUUUUGGUGUUUCCUGUCAGGUUUAGUUUUGACUGGGCCUCGGACUGGGCCCUGACACGUUCCCUGACUUUCCAAAAAAGAUCCAUUCCAAAAGGCUGAUCUUUGUCCCUGGCCCCGGUCUAGGAAUUAACUCCAGCUCAGGAAUGGAUUCUGUUUCUCUAAACUGAAACAUGACACAGUAAACCUUCACCACAGCCCUGGACUGGGGUGGAAAACACGGUCAAGAUCCUAAUAAUAGGAUUUGAACCCAGAUCUCUUCUCAUUCUGUCUAGAAGUGUUCUUCCCAUUGUAUCUGGUGAGUUCCCAAUCCUCGGUAAAUCCUAGCUCCAGAAGGAGUCGUCUGUUUUCAGAGGAAAGCCUGGGAUCCCAACUAUAGACUGAGCCUCAGCCUGGACUGAUACCUGAUGAUCUGUGAUCUUCAACCUUGACCAAAUGCUUGUGACCUUGUGACCCUUGACCCUGGUUCCAGACAGACCCCUGAAUAUGUUCUGAAAUUAGUCCUGUACGACCCCAAACUGAACGACGUGACCUCAAGCCUAGACCAGGGCUCCAGACUGAGCUCUGUUGUCAGACAGCCAGGAGCAUGGCCUAAAAACCAGCCUGAGCCCUGUUCCCGGCUGGAGACAGCACCUGAUUGGACACAAUAAAAACUUUAAACUCUUUAAAGUCUUUUAAAACUUUAAACUUUAAGGCCUUUAAACUCAGCAUCUCAUUGGGAAAUGGAGCCCUUCCCCAGAUAGAGUUCUGACACUAGAUUAAGAUUAAGACCCCAGACUCCACCCUAACCCUAGAGCCAGAGUCAUCAUUCUGGCACAUGGAUUAAAAAAAGACCCCGCUUGCUUAAGUAGGAAAUGUGCUCAAAAAUCAAUCUCAAGUUCAUUGUCUUCUUAAAUUCUCUUAAAUGUCUCCGAGACAUCUGGAAACACGGGGCCAGAGUGGAAGAAGAGUCCCCAGGAUAAAAGCCUUGAACACCAAAGGUCAGUGAGAAGUCACCAGCAAAGGGAAGCCAGGCUGGAGAGAGAGUGCCAGAGGGUGGAGUAUGGUUAGAAACGGCUCACUAGUUUAAUUAAUUAGCCUUGCUAAUCAGGCAGUAAACUCUGGUUUCUCAGAUACUGAAGAAACAUAAUUGCUUUCAGUGUCUUAAUAUGGUGGCCCUUUGGCAAAGGCCCAGUCACCCUACCUUAGUUACACCUCUUUUUCACCUCAGCCCUACGUGGCCUUGACCUUGGUCAAUUGAAAUCUCAUUUGAGCCCUGACACUGGUCCUUCACUGAGUUCUGAUAUCAAGUGUAAACUGAGCUGCUGGGACCGGAUUGAGCCCUGAGCCUGGUUCUAGGAUAACCUGGACUCCUGUUCCAAAUACAUCCCGGAGCUUAGUACCGGUACCUUGGGCCCCGGAAUGAGUUAUAAGAUCAAGUUUAAGGCCCUGGUUCUCAGCUUUGAUCCGGAGUGAAUUCUGAACUCAUAGCAAGAGCCAAUCAUGUGACAAAGUAAAGAAAACAUAGCCAAAAAUUAAUUUGCAGCAAAUUCAGGUGGGAGAUGGAAAGGAUGGUGUGGCAGGGAUCCUUGGGGAGGGGAGGGGAGGGGAAGGCAGGGCAGGGGAGGGAGAGGAGGCAGGGCAGAGCAGUGAGAAGCUCACCCCAAGGUGAGGUACCAGGAGGAGGUGGGAGUGGGAGGAAGCAGUUUCCAAUUUUAGCUAAUUAUCAUUGGUCAUUAGUGUGGAGCUAGUUGAUGCAAUAGUGGCUGAAGACGCCUUCGGGCAAAGCCCAGGACUAAGAACCUUAAUCCAGAUGGGGUAUUUGGGGCGGAUCCAGGCUCUGGCUCUAGACUAUUUCCUGACACCAGACAGAACUGGAAUAUUGGAAGCUCACCCUCAUCCUCACCCUUGCUUCAUCAGGGACCUAAAGCAGGAGGACCUUGAACAUGGCAGAAGACCCAGCCCUUCUCAGACUGCUCUGGAUCUCAUCUUCCCCUUCUGACUUCCUUAGGACUGCUGACUCUCUCUUAUCCCCAAAUAGCCUCGAGUCUCCAAGGCGGCUGGUCUCUGCUUUGGUAACUCUACACAGACACUCCCUUCUCUCCUCUGACAGGGCCCUCAGCUGCUCCACCGGACACUGAACAACACCUCCCGCCGGGGCUACUGUCCGCAAUGGCCGCUUUAACUUCCUCGCCUCAAGUCUCUCCCCACAACGCUCCAUCUUCCUCUCGGGCAUCAGUCUUCCUGAUUAAUUCUGCUCUAAGCCCAGUUCUUUCUCUAAGCGAGUCCAAGGGCUGCCAGUGUUGUCUAAAUCCGAGGGACCCCAGCCAAAGCCCACUUACUCUGUGCUUCCAGCCUUGACCCUGGCCCUAUACUAAGCCUUGAUCUCACUUCUACACCGAGUUCUGAGACUGGCCUCCACCUGAUGGUUGACCCCUUGGGCUCAAGCCCAAGCUCUAAGCCCAGGCCCGGAACAAGCGAGCCUUGAGUUGUGCUCCAGACUUGGACCUGACCCCAGCAUCCCAUCAAAACUCAGGGCCCAGGCCUAGAACCUUAAAUCGGGGCCAAGACUAGCCUGGAGCUUGACCACAGGCUGACCCUUAGCCCAGACCCUGUUCUGUAACUUCAGGCCCAAAUGAAGCCUUGAUCCCACAGGCCCUGGGUUAUGGCCUGCGCCCAGCUAUGGAAGGAACUCCUAAACCUCCAUUUAAUAAACAUUUCCCUUAUAAAGUGCCUGCUCCAUCCCUGGCCUUGGGCUGGAUGCAGGACAAGGCGCCUCCUGUUCCUGUCUGAGGUGGGGCUCAGACUUGGCCCUGGCUGCCGAUGAAGCCUUGAAUCUGGCCUCGGCCCUUCACAUGGCACCAAACUGGGUCUUGAUUGACUCCAGAUUGAGUCCUAGGAUCAGACCUUGGAGUAUGACCCCAGUCCCAGAAUAACCCUUUGAGAAUGGGUCCAAACCCCCUCUGACUGAGUCCAGGAUCCUCCCCCCACCAUCUCCUCUGCUCUUCUAGACUGGUGUCCUCCCAUAUAUACACACACCGGACUCAGCCCGAAAUAUCCUCCCAUCUCUCGUCCCUCAUCUUUCUUCAAAUGUCUUUUUUUCCUUUCUGGUUCUACAUGCAUGCUAACUUUUUAAAUACAUAUUUCUUUAUGAAUCAUAUUGAGAGGGAAAAAUCAGAGCAAAAGGGAAAACCAUGAGAGGAAAAAAACCAGAAAAGCAGCAAAAAAGUGGACAUAGCAUGUGCUGAUUUACAUUCAGUCUCCACAGUUCUCUCUGGAUGCAGACGGUGUUUUCUAUCCAAAGGUUACUGGGAUUGCCUUGGACCACUGGACCGCUGAGAAGAGCCGGAUCUUUCAUAGUGGAGCAUCACUCUCCAACAUGUCCUGAGGGGCUUCUUAAAAGUCCUCCAGGGAAGUCUUUGGAUUGUACCCCAAACAAAGGCCCUCUCCUUCCUGAACUCCCAAGAUAAACCCUUUCCUCGA